AUCUACGACUGUGCCACCCUGAACAAGCCUGACCCCAUCUGAUUUUGGAAGCUAAGCGGGGUUGGGCCUGGUUAGUAAUUGGAUGGGAGACCAUCUAGGAAGACCAGGUGCUGUAGGCA
rnacentral:rRNA from 1 species